UACAGAGGGGGCAAGCGUUAUUCGGAAUUAUUGGGCGUAAAGGGCGCGUAGGCGGCUUUGCAAGUGACGGGUGAAAUCCCUCGGCUUAACCGAGGAACUGCCUGUCAGACUGCAUAGCUUGAGACCGGGAGAGGUGAGUGGAAUUCCCAGUGUAGCGGUGAAAUGCGUAGAUAUCGGGAGGAACAUCAGUGGCGAAGGCGGCUGCCUGGCCCAAUACUGACACUCAGGUGCGACAGCGUGGGGAGCAAACAGG
rnacentral:rRNA from 1 species